rnacentral:rRNA from 1 species
GACAGAGUGGGCAAGCGUUGCUCGGAAUCACUGGGCGUAAAGGGCGCGUAGGCGGGAUGGCAAGUCAGUUGUGAAAUCUCUCGGCUCAACCGAGAAACGUCGGCUGAUACUGCCGUUCUUGAGGGAUGCAGAGGAGACUGGAAUUCCCGGUGUAGCGGUGAAAUGUGUAGAGAUCGGGAGGAACACCGGUGGCGAAGGCGGGUCUGUGGGCAUUUCCUGACGCUGAGGCGCGAAAGCGUGGGGAGCAAACGGG